AUUGAACGCUGGCGGCAGGCCUAACACAUGCAAGUCGAACGAGUGGCGGACGGGUGAGUAAUGUCUGAGAAACUGCCUGAUGGAGGGGGCUAAGUACUGGAAACGGUUGCUAAUACCGCAUACCUUCGGUUGGGCCCAGAUGGGUUUAGCUAGUAGGUGGGGUAAAGGCUCACCUAGGCGACGAUCCCUAGCUGGUCUGAGAGGAUGACCAGCCACACUGGAACUGAGACACGGUCCAGACUCCUACGGGAGGCAGCAGUGGGGAAUAUUGCACAAUGGGCGCAAGCCUGAUGCAGCCAUGCCGCGUGUAUGAAGAAGGCCUUCGGGUUGUAAAGUACUUUCAGCGGGGAGGCGUUACCCGCAGAAGAAGCACCGGCUAACUCCGUGCCAGCAGCCGCGGUAAUUC
rnacentral:rRNA from 1 species